CAGGAGAUCGUUUGGGAGAGCAUGAGGAGUGAAGGGAAAGGGGCCCCUGCGCAUGCUGUGACAGUUAGUCCCCCACAAACGGUACCUGUGAGAGACGCAGCAUCCCGACGGGCAGCUCCAGUGACAGAGCAGAAAGCGGGGUACGGAGACGCUGGCAGAGAGGUAGUCUCGGUGACAGUGAGGCUGGAGAACGCUGCAGGCAGACAAAUAGCCCCUGGCGGAGAGGCAGUCCCGGUGACGGCGAGGUUGGAGAGCCAGAGAGCUGUGCAGUAGAGGCGCAGGCAACCAGAAUAAGAGGGAGAACGGUGAGGAGUGAGAUCCUGUCAGUGCUGAGGACUCACUGAUUGGUACAAGAACUACAAUAAGAGGUACCUACACUAUCUGUCUUACAAUAAUCAGACAGAGGGGGUGGAGAAGCAGAGCGUAGAGGAACAAGAGGAACAGGAGGAGUCGGGGGAGCUACCAGAGGUGGGAAUGUUUGUUGGAACGGUCUAAAGAAUUUAUUGACGCUGAUAACACAACUAUAGUUGUACAAUAAAGCUGUUAUACUUACCACUGCCUGACUCUUCUGCUAGGGGACCCGACAGGCCUAAUGGAGAGAAAACAGGUGGGAAUGUUUGUUGGAACGGUCUAAAGAAUUUAUUGACGCUGAUAACCCAACUAUAGUUGUACAAUAAAGCUGUUAUACUUA